rnacentral:misc_RNA from 1 species
UUUCCGUAGGUGAACCUGCGGAAGGAUCAUUACAUUCAGUAGCCUCGCUACUUGUUUAUACCCUUGUUUUUUGCGUACUAUUGUUUCCUCGGCGGGCUUGCCUGCCGGUUGGACAAAACUAUAACCUUUUUAAUUUUCAAUCAGCGUCUGAAAAACCUAAUAAUUACAACUUUCAACAACGGAUCUCUUGGUUCUG